CUCUCGGUGGCCAAGCUGGCUAAGGCGCGAGACUGUAAUCUUUGACUGUAAUCUUGAGAUCGGGUGUUCGACUCACCCCCGGGAGA
rnacentral:tRNA from 1 species